AGAGGGAGAGAAACAUCACAGCUCUGAAGUUUCCUCCUUCUGCCCCAUGAAGCAGGAUCUGAGCUUGUUACAAGCAAGGCAAAGCAGGCACAUUCCCAAAGAAUCUGAGGGAGCAGAGUCCAUCCCCCCCCACCACCAUCUCAUUCAGCAUUGAGGAUUGAACCUAGAGCUUCAGACACACAAGAGCUCGAGGAUUCCUCUCAUUCCAUUUCUCACUUUUGUUUGUGAAUAUGUGGAACAUUACUACACUUCUGAAAGUUAACACUUCAUAAAUUAUACACGCAGAUGGAU